rnacentral:lncRNA from 1 species
UGUGUUUCUUGUAUUAGGAGAAUAUCACAUUUUUGUUGUUUUGUCCAUUCAAUUAGUCUUUUUCUUUUUUCAGCUUGCUGUAAUCCCUUAGCAUUAACUGUACAGAUGUGAAGGUUUUGAUCAGCCAUAAUUGUUAAUAUAAAAGGUAAGUUUAUGAUUGGGGAACCCCCAUCUAUUUAUAGUAUCAAUUAUCGAUUUUAUUCUUUCUGUUACCAGUUCACGAGUAUUUACU